rnacentral:rRNA from 1 species
UCCAGACUCCUACGGGAGGCAGCAGUGAGGAAUAUUGGUCAAUGGGCGGGAGCCUGAACCAGCCAAGUCGCGUGAGGGAAGAAGGUACUGAGUAUUGUAAACCUCUUUUGCCAGGGGGCAAAGGCGGCCACGGGUGGCCGUAAGAGGGUACCUGGAGAAAAAGCAUCGGCUAACUCCGUGCCAGCAGCCGCGGUAAUACGGAGGAUGCGAGCGUUAUCCGGAUUUAUUGGGUUUAAAGGGUGCGUAGGCGGAUUGAUAAGUUAGAGGUGAAAUGUCCGGGCUCAACUCGGGAACUGCCUCUAAUACUGUUGAUCUAGAGAGUAGAUGCGGUAGGCGGAAUGUAUGGUGUAGCGGUGAAAUGCUUAGAGAUCAUACAGAACACCGAUUGCGAAGGCAGCUUACCAAUCUAUAUCUGACGUUGAGGCACGAAAGCGUGGGGAGCAAACAGGAUUAGAUACCCUCGUAC